UACAUAGGGUGCAAGCGUUAAUCGGAAUUACUGGGCGUAAAGCGUGCGUAGACGGUUAUGUAAGUCGGGUGUGAAAGCCCCGGGCUCAACCUGGGAAUGCCAUUCGAGACUGCAUAGCUAGGGUGCGGAAGAGGGAAGCGGAAUUUCAGGUGUAGCGGUGAAAUGCGUAGAGAUCUGAAGGAACACCGGUGGCGAAGGCGGCUUCCUGGUCCAGCACUGACGUUCAUGCACGAAAGCGUGGGGAGCAAACAGG
rnacentral:rRNA from 1 species